GACGAACGCUGGCGGCGUGCCUAAUACAUGCAAGUUGAGCGCUGAAGGUUGGUCCUUGUACCAACUGGAUGAGCAGCGAACGGGUGAGUAACUCGUGGGGAAUCUGCCUUUGAGCGGGGGACAACAUUUGGAAACGAAUGCUAAUACCGCAUAAAAACUUUAAACACAAGUUUUAAGUUUGAAAGAUGCAAUUGCAUCACUCAAAGAUGAUCCCGCGUUGUAUUAGCUAGUUGGUGAGGUAAAGGCUCACCAAGGCGAUGAUACAUAGCCGACCUGAGAGGGUGAUCGGCCACAUUGGGACUGAGACACGGCCCAAACUCCUACGGGAGGCAGCAGUAGGGAAUCUUCGGCAAUGGACGAAAGUCUGACCGAGCAACGCCGCGUGAGUGAAGAAGGUUUUCGGAUCGUAAAACUCUGUUGGUAGAGAAGAACGUUGGUGAGAGUGGAAAGCUCAUCAAGUGACGGUAACUACCCAGAAAGGGACGGCUAACUACGUG
rnacentral:rRNA from 1 species